rnacentral:rRNA from 1 species
AAACGAACCUUCGGGUUAGUGGCGGACGGGUGAGUAACGCGUGAGAAUCUGCCCUCAGGAGGGGGACAACAGUUGGAAACGACUGCUAAUACCCCAUAUGCCGCGAGGUGAAAUGAAUUUCGCCUGAGGAUGAGCUCGCGUCUGAUUAGCUAGUUGGUGUAGGUAAUGGCUCACCAAGGCAUCGAUCAGUAGCUGGUCUGAGAGGAUGAUCAGCCACACUGGGACUGAGACACGGCCCAGACUCCUACGGGAGGCAGCAGUGGGGAAUUUUCCGCAAUGGGCGAAAGCCUGACGGAGCAACGCCGCGUGAGGGAUGAAGGCCUCUGGGCUGUAAACCUCUUUUAUCAAGGAAGAAGAUCUGACGGUACUUGAUGAAUAAGCCACGGCUAAUUCCGUGCCAGCAGCCGCGGUAAUACGGGAGUGGCAAGCGUUAUCCGGAAUUAUUGGGCGUAAAGCGUCCGCAGGCGGCCCUUCAAGUCUGCUGUUAAAAAGUGGAGCUUAACUCCAUCAUGGCAGUGGAAACUGUUGGGCUUGAGUGUGGUAGGGGCAGAGGGAAUUCCCGGUGUA